CUAGAAAAGAAAAUCUAAAACCUGUCCUCCACAAACAAGAUGAACACAAAUGAAAAGAACAAAAAAUGAAUCAAGAAAAAAUGAACAGCAGUUUAGGUAAGAUAUUUUCCUUGGAAAGAAAAUUAUACCAUUCAUCGCCAGUAUCACAUAAAAAAAGUGAACAACUAAAGCUCAUAAAACUUCAUAACAAUCUAAAUCACUAACAUUCAAUACCAAAGACACCAAAAAAACUUCUUUGCUUGGGACAGUCAUGCCCAAUUUCCAAAAUUAUAAGAAUUGAGGAUUCAAAUAGACAAUUUUGGAGAGUUGCAUAAUCAACUUGAUCCUAGACUUGAGUGCACCUGCAACUUCACAAUCUAACAUAGUGGGCAUGUGAGAAUGACAACUGAUCCAAUCUCACCUCCAAGUAAAAUUCAUAAAAUGCACUUCAAAACUUAACUUUGAGGCUUAAUCUAAACUGCAUUCAACAAGAGGAGACAAAACAGGAUGCUAAACAAACAAGCAAAAGCAUAGGCUCAACAACAAAAAAUCAAAUGCAGCAGAAUAUAAAAAGCCCAAAGAUAAAGAAGGACAAGGCUUACCAUAUCUCAAAUCUUCUAUUCCUAAAUAAACUCCCUAAAACCACAAUCACAGCAAAAUAGCAGCAUCGAUCUACUCAAUUCAGUUCCAAUACAUUGUAUGAAAUAGAAAACUAUCCAAAACCCAUAUCAUACUAAUUCUCCUCAAGUAAGAAUUAGUUUAAAAAAAUAAAAUAAAAUAAAAAUUGAGAAAUGAACCUUUUAGCUUCAAUUGUAUAGAUGUAGUUGAAACUUCUUAAAUCAAUCUUUAUCUUGUAACAACGUUCCCAUAUUUGUCAAAUGAAGCCUUCCUCAGUCGCCAUUGGUGACUGAAAAUUAGCCUUUCGUAUUUGGGGUUCAAACGUGUUUUCACAUCAGAUGGGCUGCUUGAAACUUGGCACAACCGACACAGCUGUAGUGAUGGCCAAAUACU
rnacentral:misc_RNA from 1 species